rnacentral:rRNA from 1 species
GAUGAACGCUGGCGGCGUGCCUAAUACAUGCAAGUCGAGCGAACAGACGAGGAGCUUGCUCCUCUGACGUUAGCGGCGGACGGGUGAGUAACACGUGGAUAACCUACCUAUAAGACUGGGAUAACUUCGGGAAACCGGAGCUAAUACCGGAUAAUAUAUUGAACCGCAUGGUUCAAUAGUGAAAGACGGUUUUGCUGUCACUUAUAGAUGGAUCCGCGCCGCAUUAGCUAGUUGGUAAGGUAACGGCUUACCAAGGCAACGAUGCGUAGCCGACCUGAGAGGGUGAACGGCCACACUGGAACUGAGACACGGUCCAGACUCCUACGGGAGGCAGCAGUAGGGAAUCUUCCGCAAUGGGCGAAAGCUUGACGGAGCAACGCCGCGUGAGUGAUGAAGGUCUUCGGAUCGUAAAACUCUGUUAUUAGGGAAGAACAAAUGUGUAAGUAACUAUGCACGUCUUGACGGUACCUAAUCAGAAAGCCACGGCUAACCACGUG